UACGUAGGGUGCGAGCGUUAAUCGGAAUUACUGGGCGUAAAGCGUGCGCAGGCGGUUGGCCGUGUCCGAUGUGAAAGCCCCGGGCUUAACCUGGGAAUGGCAUUGGAAACUGGCUGGCUGGAGUGUGGCAGAGGGGGGUGGAAUUCCACGUGUAGCAGUGAAAUGCGUAGAGAUGUGGAGGAACACCGAUGGCGAAGGCAGCCCCCUGGGUUAACACUGACGCUCAGGCACGAAAGCGUGGGGAGCAAACAGG
rnacentral:rRNA from 1 species